rnacentral:sRNA from 1 species
AGGAGCUUUGAUAAAACUUAUCUUCUCAGACCUAACAUCAAAACACACCAAAACUGGAUUCAUAGGUGGGGUUGGGCUAUAAGCACCAUAGUAGACAAAACCAUCGAUGCUUACUCCCACAGUUACCGGGCUAAAAGGCGCAUUGGUAACUUCAAUGUGUCUCCAUCCUUGACCACCUCCCCCUAGUGUUAAGACCUUGUGCUCUAGAUUUCUCUUUCUCGACGGCACAGAUACAGACAAUGCUUUUUGUUGAUCAUCAAUCGGAUCGUAUCCCACGAAUCGAGUGUUAACAGGAAACUUAGGACAUCUCCAUCAGUGAGAUACCUUCUUGGUUUCUAAAAAA